rnacentral:lncRNA from 1 species
AUUUAUUGAACAUUAUGACCAUGCACAAAGAAAAAAUGAGAUAAAUACUGUUAAUUUGUGAUCAGACUAAUUUAAGCCAUAGAUGCACACAAGAAUAACCUCAGCAUAUAUAUGUUAAGGCACAAUACAUAUCAGAGUAUGUGGUCAUGUGGAGAUCUAGAGAUUAAUGUCAAUAUUUUACUGAUUAUACCGACAGGAGCAAAUGGAAAACAUGAUAUUGAAAAAGGAAAUGGCUCUCAUACUAGAACUUGAAGCAGAUGGAAAAAGAGGACUGCAGAGCUACAUGACAUUUACUGACUUGAAUAGAAUAAACCCAUUCAAUCAUUAUCUCACUCCCCUUGCUCCUAGUAUCAGUAAUAUCAGACUUACUAGGGUUAUCUUAUUCUGCUCAAUUGUGCCUGCCAUUACACAUUAUGGAAGAUAAACUGGAUCAAGGUUUUAAAUGCCACAUUCAUUCUGCCCAUGCUGAUCAGAGAAUGUUAUAUCAAGUGGAGCCAACCCAACCAUGAAGUACCUCAUAUAUCUGCCAAUGCAUAUAUAUUGGCAUAUCACAAGCAAGGUUCGCAAUACCGUACCGUACCGGUAUUUCGAUCUGGGCUCAGUACCGGUACGAUACGGUAUACCAAGUGGUACACCCAGGUGUACCGAGUACGGUAGCACUGCUAUAGUGCUACAGUACAGUACAACAGUACUCUCGGACCGGUAACAGUCGGUCCACGUACUAACAACCUAUCGGACCGGUACGUACCGCCUGUACCGGGCGGUAUGACUCCGUACGACAGACCCUGAUCACAAGUAAGGUAUGCAAUUUCG